rnacentral:miRNA from 1 species
AGUCACCAUUUUGUCACCAAUUUUGGUGACUGUUGUGGGGGUUACUAAAGGCUUUAGUCCCCACAACAGUCACCAAAAUUAGUGACAAAAUGGUAACUAU